ACGUAGGGGGCGAGCGUUGUCCGGAAUCACUGGGCGUAAAGCGCACGUAGGCGGGCUAUCAAGUCGGCCGUGAAAGGCAUGGGCUCAACCUGUGCAUGUCGGUCGAUACUGGCGGUCUGGAGUAUGGGAGAGGGGACUGGCAUUCCCGGUGUAGGGGUGAAAUGCGUAGAUACCGGGGGGAACACCAGUGGCGAAGGCGUCUUCCUGGGCCAGGACUGACGCUGAGGUGCGAAAGCCGGGGGAGCGAACGG
rnacentral:rRNA from 1 species